AGGGUUUGAUCAUGGCUCAGGAUGAACGCUAGCGGCGCGCUUAAUGCAUGCAAGUCGAGCGAUGAGGUCUCCUUCGGGGGACACAUCAGCGGCAGACGGGUGAGUAACACGUAAGUAACCUACCCCAGAGACAGGGAUAACCCUAGGAAACGAGGGCUAAUACCGGAUGACCUCCGGAAGGAGGAAAGGCUCAGGCGCUCUGGGAGGGGCUUGCGGCCCAUCAGCUAGUUGGUAGGGUAACGGCCUACCAAGGCGAAGACGGGUAGGGGGUGUGAGAGCACGGCCCCCCACAAUGGGACUGAAACACGGCCCAUACUCCUACGGGAGGCAGCAGCAGGGAAUAUUGCACAAUAGGCGGAAGCCUGAUGCAGCGACGCCGCGUGAGUGAAGAAGGCCUUCGGGUCGUAAAGCUCUUUUGUAGGGGAAGAGGAAGGACGGUACCCUAAGAAGAAGCGUCGGCUAACUACGUGCCAGCAGCCGCGGUAAGACGUAGGACGCGAGCGUUAUCCGGAAUUACUGGGCGUAAAGGGCCAGCAGGCGGCUUGGUAAGUUGUGCGUGAAAGCCUCGUGCUCAACGCGAGGAAGCCGGACAAUACUGUCAAGCUAGAGGGCAUCAGAGGGGAGUGGAAUUCCCGGAGUAGCGGUAAAAUGCGCAGAUAUCGGGAGGAACACCGAUGGCGAAGGCAGCUCCCUGGGAUGCACCUGACGCUAAGCGGCGAAAGCUAGGGGAGCGAACAGGGAUAGAGACCCUGGUAGUCCUAGCUGUAAACGCUGGGUGCUAGGUGUGGGACGUAGAAGUUCCGUGCCGGAGCAAACGCGAUAAGCACCCCGCCUGGGAAUUACGGUCGCAAGGCUAAAACUCAAACGAAUUGACGGGGCCCCGCACAAGCAGCGGAGCGUGUGGUUCAAUUCGAUGCUACACGAAGAACCUUACCUGGGUUUGACAUGUACGUGGUACGAGGGCGAAAGCCCAAGGACCCUUCGGGGAGCGUACACAGGUGCUGCAUGGCUGUCGUCAGCUCGUGCCGUGAGGUGUCGGGUUAAGUCCCGUAACGAGCGCAACCCUUGCCCUUAGUUACAAGUGUCUAAGGGGACUGCCGGCGGAAAGCCGGAGGAAGGUGGGGAUGACGUCAAGUCAGCAUGGCCCUUAUGUCCAGGGCUACACACACGCUACAAUGGUCGGUACAAUGGGCAGCCAAGCCGCGAGGCGGAGCGAAUCCCACCAAAGCCGGUCGUAGUUCGAAUUGCAGGCUGCAACUCGCCUGCAUGAAGCUGGAGUUGCUAGUAACCGCGCGUCAGCCAUAGUGCGGUGAAUACGUUCCCGGGCCUUGUACACACCGCCCGUCACACCAUGAGAGUUAGUAACACCCGAAGCCAACGAGCUAACCUUUGGAGGCAGUUGUCGAAGGUGGGACUGAUGAUUGGGGUGAAGUCGUAACAAGGUAACC
rnacentral:rRNA from 1 species